rnacentral:lncRNA from 1 species
CUUACACAUUCAUGACAAAGCUUUGCAAAAUCGUCAACCUGCUCACGUGUACAACGGACACACUAUUCAUUAUCCAUUUAAUGCUUAUUAUCAUCCUAGUUUAAGACUUUUAGCAACCAGAUCCAGAUACAGCACAAACCAAAAGCACUUUUCUAAAUCUACCUAAUUUUAAAUUUACAAGAGUUAGAUUUUGAAUCCAGAAAACACAAAAUUCAGUGCUCACACGAAUUUCAUGUAUUUUAUUUUUGGAAUUUUUGCAAAAGAGCUUCAAUUCCUUGUAUUUUUUUUUUUAAUUUCAUGUUGAGGAAAAAAAAAUGAAGAUAAGAAAUCUAUAACUGCAGAUUUGCAUUCUCAAGGUUGAAGAUGAUGUGGGGAAAAUAUAUAGUGUUGAUUGACUAUCGUAAAAUCUGUACACCUCUUUAAUUUAAUGGUCAAGAAUAACUUUCCCAUCGUGGGAAACAACUCCCAUUUCCCAUCCUAAACCCCACCAUAAAAUCAAUGUUAAAAGGAUAUUAAAAAUAGAAUUGGAUUGAUUCCUUUAAAACAUUACAUUCCCUCAAAACAUUCUCCCAUCCAAACACACUCUUAAUUUAUUUGAAUCAACGACGUUUAUUUAAGCAGCAUCAUAUGAAAUAAACAUAAAAAAUGAUAUGAUCACUCUAUUGUCAACAUUCUUUUAACAAUCAUUUUCUUAUUAAUGAGAUUCACGCCGGUUUUACACUUUGAAAAUGAGUCUCACAUAAGUAAUAAAACUCAUUAUGAAGGUGUUGGAAUUGGUGGACGAUAUUAAAGUGGUGUCUUGGCGGUGGUGUUUAACUCAUUUAAAAAUCCCAUCUUACCUUUUCUACUAAUGGAAUUGAAACCCAAUGGCUUGUGUUGUGAGAAAGUGGAUGUUGGUUGUGGAGUAUGUUGCUUUAUGGACAACCAAACACAUAAUACAAUCAAUUGAAUGUAGCACGAAAAACUACAAAAAACUACUAUCCAAUAAACACUGUUCAUGAGUACAUAACAAUCAUAGAAAAUCAAUCAACAUAAAAACAUCAAAGCAAACACUUAAAGCAAUAAAAUAACAGCAAAGUUCAAGAUUAUUGAAUAAUCCUAAAUAAUCAUUUGUCAAACCCUAACAAUAAAGUUUACACAAUCAACAUAAAUUCAAUAUCAAUGUCAUACCCCAAUUUUUGUCGUUGGAUCCUGAUCAGUCUUUAAAUUUUCAGAAAAAUUCGGAAGAGAAGUAAUUUAAAAUACCUCAUUUUUGGUUCUGAGUCGGGCCCUCUUCUCUCAUUUAAUUUUUUGUUUUAGUUGAAAUUUCCAUCUUUUAUUCUUUUAAAAAAAAACCAUUUAAUUUUUGUUUUAUUCUAUAUUAGUCUUUAUUUAUUUGUUUAUUUAAUUAUUCCAUUUUUUUAAGAUAAGUCCAAAAGUCAAUUCUGCAUUUCUUUUUAUUUUUUAUUUUUUAUUUUUCAUUUAUUAUCUUAUUCUUUUGUUAUUAUUCGAUGAAUCCAAAAAAACCUGUCACGGCAUUCAUCCCAAUCCAAUUCUAAACAGCCUGUCACAUUAACUUGUUCCAAUCCAACCCUAUCUGCAACAAAACCAGGAACAAAAGUGUGUUGCCCCUUCCCCAAUUCAAACAUUUUUCCAGUACAAUCUAGUACUAUAAAACCCAAACACCUAAACCUGCAAAAGACAACCAUUUUCAGCCAGAGAAACACACAUGAAAUUCUAGAAUUGCACAUCACAGAGGAGCAGAGAACCGCAACCGUUCCUACACCGACGACCAGCAAGCAACCAGAAUCCGAACCUGUAUCAGUCAACACACACGUAGCAAAAGGUCCAGUCUGGCACACAACACAAGCCAGAAUGUAAAUAACACAAAACUAAUCAAACAUUAAUUUCUACCCCGAACUACGAGGUUUUGAUCCCUCACGGGUAUGUAGGCAAAGGACACUCGUCCUUUCAAAUCAUAAAAAUGUAAAUAAAAUAAGCCUCUUUUCCCUUUUUAUCACUUUAAAUUCUAUUUUCAAAAAUAAACAAGUCAUAGAACAAAACGUUAAAUAAAACCAAGAGGUUCCCGUAGAGUACUACACACAAAAGGGUGCUAAUACCUUCCCUUUAUGUAACUAACCCCCGAACCCUAAAUCUUUUCAAAAUGGGGUAGUUUGAACCUCUUUUUCCCCUUUUCUAAAAAAAAUAAAUGUUCAGUCGUGAAAUAAAUUAGCGAGUCAAAAACUAAUCAAAUAGCCUUGAUCUCCAAAAAAUGACGCGACAAUCAACAAGGUGAUAAUAGAUGUUAACUCUCAUUACAAUAAUAAACAAAUGAAACAAAUAAGUUUAAAAUCAUAAAAUUAGAAAAGGGUUUACCUCUUAGAAGAUCACCACCAAUGGAGGAAGAGAGAAAAUAGUAAAGGAAUAAGAAGAUUAGAGACACAAGUAACAAAGAGGAGGAAGUUUUGUUUUGAAACAAGGAUGUGGAAGUGGUUGAUUUUUUUAUGUGGUUGAAACAGAGAGGGAGUUUGUUUGUUCACCGUGAGAAAGAAAGAAAGAAAACGUGUUCUAUAAUUGUGAAUUGUG